GGGACACGUGGUAUCCUGUCUGAAUAUGGGGGGACCAUCCUCCAAGGCUAAAUACUCCUGACUGACCGAUAGUGAACCAGUACCGUGAGGGAAAGGCGAAAAGAACCCCGGCGAGGGGAGUGAAAAAGAACCUGAAACCGUGUACGUACAAGCAGUGGGAGCACGCUUAGGCGUGUGACUGCGUACCUUUUGUAUAAUGGGUCAGCGACUUAUAUUCUGUAGCAAGGUUAACCGAAUAGGGGAGCCGAAGGGAAACCGAGUCUUAACUGGGCGUUAAGUUGCAGGGUAUAGACCCGAAACCCGGUGAUCUAGCCAUGGGCAGGUUGAAGGUUGGGUAACACUAACUGGAGGACCGAACCGACUAAUGUUGAAAAAUUAGCGGAUGACUUGUGGCUGGGGGUGAAAGGCCAAUCAAACCGGGAGAUAGCUGGUUCUCCCCGAAAGCUAUUUAGGUAGCGCCUCGUGAAUUCAUCUCCGGGGGUAGAGCACUGUUUCGGCAAGGGGGUCAUCCCGACUUACCAACCCGAUGCAAACUGCGAAUACCGGAGAAUGUUAUCACGGGAGACACACGGCGGGUGCUAACGUCCGUCGUGAAGAGGGAAACAACCCAGACCGCCAGCUAAGGUCCCAAAGUCAUGGUUAAGUGGGAAACGAUGUGGGAAGGCCCAGACAGCCAGGAUGUUGGCUUAGAAGCAGCCAUCAUUUAAAGAAAGCGUAAUAGCUCACUGGUCGAGUCGGCCUGCGCGGAAGAUGUAACGGGGCUAAACCAUGCACCGAAGCUGCGGCAGCGACGCUUAUGCGUUGUUGGGUAGGGGAGCGUUCUGUAAGCCUGCGAAGGUGUGCUGUGAGGCAUGCUGGAGGUAUCAGAAGUGCGAAUGCUGACAUAAGUAACGAUAAAGCGGGUGAAAAGCCCGCUCGCCGGAAGACCAAGGGUUCCUGUCCAACGUUAAUCGGGGCAGGGUGAGUCGACCCCUAAGGCGAGGCCGAAAGGCGUAGUCGAUGGGAAACAGGUUAAUAUUCCUGUACUUGGUGUUACUGCGAAGGGGGGACGGAGAAGGCUAUGUUGGCCGGGCGACGGUUGUCCCGGUUUAAGCGUGUAGGCUGGUUUUCCAGGCAAAUCCGGAAAAUCAAGGCUGAGGCGUGAUGACGAGGCACUACGGUGCUGAAGCAACAAAUGCCCUGCUUCCAGGAAAAGCCUCUAAGCAUCAGGUAACAUCAAAUCGUACCCCAAACCGACACAGGUGGUCAGGUAGAGAAUACCAAGGCGCUUGAGAGAACUCGGGUGAAGGAACUAGGCAAAAUGGUGCCGUAACUUCGGGAGAAGGCACGCUGAUAUGUAGGUGAAGUCCCUCGCGGAUGGAGCUGAAAUCAGUCGAAGAUACCAGCUGGCUGCAACUGUUUAUUAAAAACACAGCACUGUGCAAACACGAAAGUGGACGUAUACGGUGUGACGCCUGCCCGGUGCCGGAAGGUUAAUUGAUGGGGUUAGCGCAAGCGAAGCUCUUGAUCGAAGCCCCGGUAAACGGCGGCCGUAACUAUAACGGUCCUAAGGUAGCGAAAUUCCUUGUCGGGUAAGUUCCGACCUGCACGAAUGGC
rnacentral:rRNA from 1 species